UGGGUAGAUAUGUUCCAUGGCCUUCAGAAUAAGAUCCUUUGUGGGGCACUCAGUCCAUAAACAGAAAAUUGCCUUCAUCUUGGGUGCUGGUGUUUCCGG
ensembl:misc_RNA